rnacentral:lncRNA from 10 species
ACAGAAGUAACUUAUCAACAAUGCUUUGUUUAGAAGUGAGAAGACACUCUCUCUCAUGAAAGUUUCUGAAAAUGUUAUCCUUUCUUUAAUGUGAAGCUGUCAGUAUGUUUUAUUGAUUUAUGCUUUUGUAUUUAUUGUUCUUUUAGUGUGGAAAUGGGCACCUUUGACUGAACCAUGUUUCUUGCUCGGUAUUGAAAAAUGACCUCAUUCCUUUGUAAGUAUUAGUCACAUUUUAAUGGGGACAUAUUCAACGUUUGUACAAGAACUCCCAAAUCUUCUGAAAGCAUUAUCAUCACACAUGGGUGAAUUUCAAUUACCGAUGGUGCCACCAAUUCAGUGUUCUUCCUAUAUUAUGAUCACAGAUGAAGGUGAGUUUUUAGAUGGUCAGUGACUAAAGGCUUUGAAGCAACUGAUGUCACUUGCUUUCCAUUUGUAUCCUUUCUGCUCUUAAUUGUUGCUUCUGCUAGUAAGCAGGAUGUAUUAUCCAAAACAUACUAGGCUUUGAAAAUGCAAGCUCUUUUGCUAUGCAUUAAUAUGAUCAUUUUUCUAAGUUAAUGCAUCAUCAUUACUUCCCACUUGGCACAUGGGAAAAUGUAGCACAAGCAGAACUAGGGUUUGAAGUCAAACCUCAAAAAAGAAAAAAAAAUAGAUUUUGCUCUUUAAUAGAAAAGAGAAGAAGUAAGGGCUGCAAGCAAAACAAAAAUAACUCUUGAGUUGUAUUUGGAAAAUGGCUGCUAGACAGGCAGAAUUUCUUGAGCACUUGGACUGAAGAUGGUCAUACAGUAUGAGAUGCUUUGCUUUUUCCAUUCAGGCAGAAUGUGGUUGAAAGGUGCUUUUAAAUGUCAUUCCAAGUAUGGCAGAGGUGCAGACCAAGGAAAGCCUUUAGAAUCCAUUAGGUUGCUUUUAAGAUUCCCCCCCGCCACUUUACCAUCUGAAAAUUAUUUUCUCCACUGUCAACAGGAGAUAAUAACAUCUAUCUUGCACGAUUGUUGUGUAAAGCAGUGAUCACAGUGCUGAUAUAGAGCAGCUACUCAAUAAAAAGAAAGGGUUUUGAAUGUUAAUGAGAGAAGUUAAAACCUGUUCAGACAAGCAAGAAGCAACAAACUCUUCCCUGAGAUUUAUUUUCCUUGUCUGUAAAUACAGUAACAGGACCUUAUUCUUUGGGUUGGAGUGAGGAUUAAAUCAAUAAAGCACAUGAAAAUAUGUUGCACAGAGCCUGG